rfam:TPA: Bos taurus chromosome 5, whole genome shotgun sequence.
UCCCUGGUAGUCAGGUGGUUAAAACUUGGUGCUCCCAACGCAGAGGGCACAGGUUCAAUCCCUGGUCAGGGAA